ACAGAAUCCUUCGGGACUGAUUAUUUUGUGACUGAGUGGCGGACGGGUGAGUAACGCGUGGGUAACCUGCCUUGUACAGGGGGAUAACACUUGGAAACAGGUGCUAAUACCGCAUGAGACCACAACGUCACAUGGCGAAGGGGUCAAAGGAGCAAUCCGGUAUGGGGUGAGCUCGCGUCCGAUUAGCUGGUUGGUGAGGUAACGGCCCACCAAGGCGACGAUCGGUAGCCGACCUGAGAGGGUGAUCGGCCACAUUGGAACUGAGAGACGGUCCAAACUCC
rnacentral:rRNA from 1 species